UAAGGAAACUAAACCGCACGGAAAUUGAAUAGAUAUUUAAAUUGACUGCAUAUGAAGUAAUCAAGUAAUGGUAGUUUUAGGUAAAAUGUUGCAAUAAUGAGUGAGCAACUAGCCCAAAAUAUCCACUUGAAACUUAAUUAAUUGAUUGCAUUUUCCUGUAUUUUGGUGUAAAUUAGCAUUAAUUUGCAUUGAAUGUCGGUGUACCAAAACUAAGGGGAGAGAUUUGAACUAGGAAUUGAUAAAUUUUCUAAGAAGUGGGGAUAUUACAAAUUAGUUUUAUAGACUCUUCUAACCUCGUGUGUUGUGGUCCACUGUCAUGAACAUAAUACACUCAACCUUGUCGCUGUCUUAAGAAUAUUUGUUUAUUUAACAAAAGUGACUAAUCCAAAAUGACUAUUUACGGCAAAUUAGUACAAAUUAUAUUAGUGAAUUAUUUUCAGUGAAAAAAAUGUGCUCGGGUGCUGUGAUGAAUCUCAAUUAAAUCUCCAUGUAUUUAAUUAAGUAUGAAAUUAUAAUUUUUAAGUGACCCAUGUGAAUAAAAUUUAAUAACUUAAA